UACGUAGGGUGCAAGCGUUAAUCGGAAUUACUGGGCGUAAAGCGUGCGCAGGCGGUGAUGUAAGACAGAUGUGAAAUCCCCGGGCUCAACCUGGGACCUGCAUUUGUGACUGCAUCGCUAGAGUACGGUAGAGGGGGAUGGAAUUCCGCGUGUAGCAGUGAAAUGCGUAGGUAUGCGGAGGAACACCGAUGGCGAAGGCAAUCCCCUGGACCUGUACUGACGCUCAUGCACGAAAGCGUGGGGAGCAAACAGG
rnacentral:rRNA from 1 species